ensembl:lncRNA JUN-DT JUN divergent transcript
AUAUGGACCCUCAUGAAUCAGAGGAAGAACGAGGCCUGGAGUCAUGAAGGGGCUUAACUGAAGUCACAAGGCUCACGGCAGGACCAGUAUCAAAAUAGACCCCAAUGUGCGGCAGGCUCAUCAGUGGAAGUGACUUACCCUGUCUCAGAUGAGGCUUUGUACUGUGGACUUUCGAGGCAUUAUAGUAUACAUAGCCUUGGAAUCAGAAGACCAAGAACAUACAAGAGAACAUAGCCUUGGAAUCAGAAGACCAAGAAACAAUUUAACUCUGCCCCUCUAGAGCUCUGAGAACUUGGGCAAGCCUUUUACCCUCUUGAAUUUUUGCCACCUUCAAUGAGAAAGACUGAAACAAAAAACUCAGAAGAAAGAAAGAGACUGAGAUAGCAAAUAUGACAAACUGUUAAAAAUUCAUGAAUCUGUUAUGGAAUACUAUGCAGCCAUAAAAAAGGAUGAGUUCCUGUCCUUUGCAAGGACGUGUAUGAAGCUGGAAACCAUCAUUCUGAGCAAACUAAAACAGGAACAGAAAACCAAACACCACAUGUUCUCACUCAUAAGUGGGAGUUGAACAAUGAGAACACAUGGACACGGCGGGGUGGUGGGAACAUCACACACCGGGGCCUGUCAGAGGGGAGGGGGCUAGGGGAGAGAUAGCAUUAGGAGAAAUACCUAAUGUAGAUGAUGGGUUGAUGGGUGCAGCAAACCACCAUGGCAUGUGUAUACCUAUGUAACAAACCUGCAUGUUCUGCACAUGUAUCCCAGAACUUAAAGUAUAAUAAUAAAAAGAGAGAUUAAAAAAAUUGGUGAAUCUGGGCAAAAUGUACACAGGAUUUUUCUGUACUGUUCUUGCAACUUUUCUACAGAUUUGAAAUGUUACAAAAUAAAAGGUAUUUUUAGAAAAAGAGUA